rnacentral:misc_RNA from 1 species
AAACAGAAAGCAGCAAGCAUGCACCUGAGCGCAGGUUUGACCUGGCACUGACACGCACACAUCACCGCCUCUACCCACCACAUCACUCAUCCAUACACUCCCUCACCACUGCGCCCAAACAGACGGAGGGAGGAGGACACAAAAUCACAAGAAGCAAUCCUUUGUAUUGUGACUGUCGACAGCACGACCUUUCCUGCGACCCGCACGGAUGUCGUCAGCGCCGCGCAAGCUCACCACAGCUAUGCGCGAGGAUGACGACGGGGGCAAUCGUGGGAACAGAACCUCCAUGCAAGCCUGGAGCACCUCUAGCGUCAAGCACCAAAGCCUCGGCUCUGAGCUCUUGGAUGACGAGGAGUUCAAGACGAAGACAUUCCAGGACCUCGGCCUGUGCCAGGAGCUUUGCACGGCGUGCGCCGAUGCUGGCUGGCAGCACCCGACUCGCAUUCAGGCCUCCGCUAUCACCGUCUUUGCCGAGGGCCGCGACCUCAUUGGUGUGGCGCAGACUGGUAGCGGCAAAACCGGCGCCUAUGCGCUGCCCCUGGUGAACUGGCUGCUGGCCCAGCGCAAGACGCCGUACCUCUCUGUCCUCGUCAUGGUGCCCACGCGCGAGCUGGCGCAGCAGGUGACGGCCCAGUUUGUACUGCUAGGCCGCAGCGUCGGACUGCGUGUGGCGACGCUGGUGGGUGGCGCGGACAUGGUCGAGCAGGCCUGUGAGCUGAGCAAGAGGCCGCAUGUCGUCGUCGGAACCCCUGGCCGUGUAAAAGACCACCUCAGCAACACGAAGGGCUUCAAGCUCGUCAAGCUGCACGCCUUGGUGCUGGAUGAGGCGGACAAGAUGCUCGAUAUGGACUACGAGAAAGAGAUUGACGCCAUUCUGGAGCAGCUGCCGCAGAACCGCCGCACCAUGCUUUUUUCUGCUACGCUGAGCACCAAGAUUGACCGUCUCCAGAAGGCAUCGCUGCGGGACCCGGUGCUGCUGCAGGUGCACCGCAAGAACACCACCGUGGACACACUCAAGCAGUACUACAUCUUUGCCCCGUUUGCGCAGAUGCUCUCCUACCUGCACCUCUUCCUAACGAAGGAGACGGGCAACCACAUCCUCAUUUUCUGUCGAAGCGCGGCUUUGGUGCACAAGAUCACGCUGACGCUCCGCAUCUUGGGCCACCGCGCGUUGCCUCUGAUGGGUCGCAUGGACCAAAGCAACCGCAACAUCGCGCUCACCAAGUUCAAGGAAGGAAAGGUGAGGAUGCUCAUUUGCACCGAUGUCGCGCAGCGUGGUCUGGACAUACCGCACACGGACGUCGUCGUGAAUUUCUCGCUGCCUGACCACGUCGAGGACUAUAUCCACCGCGUGGGCCGCACAGCUCGCGCUGGGGCUGAGGGCAAGGCCGUGAAUCUCAUUAGUCAGUACGACAUUGUACUGCUGCACAAGAUCGAGCAGCAAACAGGCGUCAAGUGCGUCGAGUACCCCUUCCUUCCGGAGAGCGAGGUGCAGCUGGUGCUCCAGCGUGUUGAGGAUGCAGAGCAGGAGGCCAUCCGCGAAAUCCGCGAGGAUGCCGAGGAGAGGAGCUUGGAGAAGGAGUCGCGGCAGCUGACGACGGCGCGGAAAGGCAAGCGAGACCGCGGCGACGCCGACAUGGGCUACGACGAUGCCAAACACGGUACGAGCGACUUCGCAACGCUGCGCAUGCGCCGCGAACACGAGUCUAUCUUCGAGAUGACCAAAAAGGAACAGCACAAGUCUCUGUGGGCGAAGCGGCGGGAGGCAAAGCAGCAAGCGAAAUCGCGAUAGCCGCCACCAAGGAAGUGAGCCGAUCGAGGGCGUUGCACGUGUCUGUGUCGUCCGCGCCUGGCAGCGCACGGAAAAAAGUCUCGCUUCUCCUCGCUGGCCGCGCUGCGCUCUUCUUUUCGCUCAUCAGCGCGAUCUCUCAUCGCUGGCACGUGCCGAAAUAGAACGAGGGCGAGUGCGCGUUGCGUGCCGCCUGCCUUUCUGCUCCCAAUCUCGCUGAAACGACCGCCUCCCCGGCUGCUGCUGCUGCUGCUGCCACCAUGGGAGCUUUUCUUUUCUUGCUUCUCUCUCGCUGCCAGCACGAUAGCAUUGGAUAAGAGAAAGAGAGAGAAAGGGAGGCGUGACGUCGGCGUGUCGUAGUCCGGUGCGUGCAUGGGCUGCUGCGACUGGUGAGGGAGGAGACGGCGACUGUGCGUACCAGAUGCCUAAAACGAGUGAAACCAAAGUGCACAUCGCUUUUGUCUUGACUCUUCUCUUAAAGCUCUGCCGUGCCGCUGUUGUGGUGGCUCAGUCGACGCGUCAUCGUACCAGAGCGGUUGGGAGCAGCCAAGACGGGCAGAGCAUGCGGGGGAGCAACGCCAAAAGCAAAGCAGAUGGACGAGUACCACAGGCAAGCC